rnacentral:rRNA from 1 species
GACGAACGCUGGCGGCGUGCUUAACACAUGCAAGUCGAACGGAAAGGCCCCUUUGGGGGUACUCGAGUGGCGAACGGGUGAGUAACACGUGAGUAACCUGCCCUUGACUUCGGGAUAACUUCAGGAAACUGGGGCUAAUACCGGAUAGGAAUCCUUGCUGCAUGGUGGGGGUUGGAAAGCUUCGGCGGUUUUGGAUGGACUCGCGGCUUAUCAGCUUGUUGGUGGGGUAGUGGCUUACCAAGGCUUUGACGGGUAGCCGGCCUGAGAGGGCGACCGGCCACAUUGGGACUGAGAUACGGCCCAGACUCCUACGGGAGGCAGCAGUGGGGAAUAUUGCACAAUGGGCGGAAGCCUGAUGCAGCAACGCCGCGGGCGGGAGGACGGCCUUCGGGUUGGAAACCGCUUUCAGCAGGGGCGAAGCUUGUGGUGACGGUACCUGCAGAAGAAGCACCGGCUAACUACGUG